UGCGCAUCUACAUUGCCCACUUGCAGUCACGGCUCCACCGAUUAAGUGCCCAGUCGGAGCCCUGAAUGCGAGGUGCUCAGUCCCUACCUGCACGACUCUCCGACACUCUCUCCUAAUGUGUUUUAUUCUGCUGCUGAUGCAGCUGGGUGCGUAGUCCCAGCCCCACUGUCAGAGCCACUAGAUCGAACGGGGCUUUGCAGUCAACGAGUUGCGUCUACAGUGCGCACCUUAGCGGUGGAAUGGAACCGCGCUCGUUCAGAAAAGCGUAGCUCAGUCGGGCUUGCAGGUGACCAGUGACGAUUUGUUUGCUGUGUCUCGAGCGCGGCAUCUUGACUGGUGGCUACUGACACGCAAUGGCGGCGUUGAUCAGUAAUCGGUCGAGAUGAUGCAUGUCUAACGUGGUUGAGGUAGGGAUGGGCAAAGAUGUCGCCACAUGAAACUUCAAACUUUCGAAAUUUGUAUGCGGAGAACAUACUGUCAAGCCGGCGCGGACAUACAUUGACUCUGAAAGUGGGUGGUCGACAUCUGGUGUCGUGAUCAAGCAGGCCAGCCGUCCAGUAAUCUCUGGCACCCUUGCAGUUGUGGUGCAACCGAGAAAAUAUGGAAUCAGGUGCAUUGUUCAUUUGCUGCAACCCUUUCACAUGAUAUGCAGACAAAUUCAUUCAAGUAGCUCAAUAGCUUCACAAGAUCUCAGGCAUCACUCUGGAAACCUGUCUCGAUUUUUAGAGGUGGGAUUCGAAAGCAUGGAUUCCUUUGCAAUUGCAUGCUUCAUUUUACCGUGGUUUGUCAAUCAUGUGCCCUGAGAAGGUCUGUAAAGGAUUCAACGUGGACGGUAGCACCUGUCAACAAAAAGACCAGUGCCCAACGAGACAGUUAAUUAUCUUAUCACGGAUUGGUGGGGGUUAAUGGAGAUUCUGAAAAGAACUUGGGUUGAGAUCCAGCAGAAUUAAGAUACGGGACGAAUCUUAUUCACUUCAGUAACAUUUUUUGAUUAAAUCUACCGCAGUUGGCAACUAUGGUGCAUGGUUUUACAGUAGUUCUGAGUUGAGGAACUUCUCAACUUAGUGGAACCACAACUUAGAAUCCCCGCGGAUCAAUAGCUGUUGCAUUAGCAUUGUAUCUGUAAACAUCACAACGUCGGACUCUUCAACAGUUAUAAAAAUACGUUGGACUUGCAACAGGAUGUUGGUCAACUUCUCUCCCUUCAUCACAACUUCUCUAGUUACAUUGUUAAGUACUGACAUGUACCCGAGAAAUUAACAUGAAGCUGAGCUGGGUCAUUGUUAGCAACACUGGAGGUGGACAUGCUCAGCUGGCCUUCUAGAGCCACCUGAUUGACGUCGCCAGAAUUUUGACACCCUGGACUAUCACCUCUUGCUUCUCCCAGCGACUGAUGUGCCUACACCCAAUUAGAUCACUUGUUUAUCAGAAUUUGAAGAUUGCUAUGGGUGAGACAAAUUUUAAUUAAGAUAGUGAUACAAUUGUCAGUGAUCGGGGACUUGUGAGGGCCUUGUCGCCCAGAAAUCAGAGGGGUACCAAAGACCAUCUCCUCGACAUCCUUGCAUCUCCAGAUCUGGGUGGAUUGAAUAACAUUCCCCCUCAUGACUAGCAAUAUAUGUAAUUAAGCAGACCACAAAAAAAUCGAUGAAGUAUAGUACCAAAAAAAAUUCCUGUGAGUGUGUGAAACACACUCCCCUCCCUCUGAUUUUUAUUCUAGAGCUUGACCUCAGAACUUCUUGGUUGAGUAGUUUAGAGUCCUGAAAUUGGCGUGGCAUCCAGCCCUCGUCACCCACAUGCCUCCAAAGAAUUAUGUAUACAAAUUGUUGAAUUUGAUCCUCAUUGAAGGUCAUUUUGAGUUGU